AUUGAACGCUGGUGGCAUGCUUUACACAUGCAAGUCGAACGGUAACAGGCCGCAAGAUGCUGCCGAGUGGCGAACGGGUGAGUAAUGCAUCGGAACGUGCCCAGUCGUGGGGGAUAACGCAGCGAAAGCUGCGCUAAUACCGCAUACGAUCUAUGGAUGAAAGCAGGGGACCGUAAGGCCUCGCGCGAUUGGAGCGGCCGAUGUCAGAUUAGGUAGUUGGUGGGGUAAAGGCGCACCAAGCCAACGAUCUGUAGCUGGUCUGAGAGGACGACCAGCCGCACUGGGACGGAGACUCGGCCCAGACUCCUACGGGAGGCAGCAGUGGGGAAUUUUGGACAAGGGGCGCAAGCCUGAUCCAGCAAUGCCGCGUGCAGGAAGAAGGCCUUCGGGUUGUAAACUGCUUUUGUACGGAACGAAACGGUCCUGGUUAAUACCUGGGGCUAAUGACGGUACCGUAAGAAUAAGCACCGGCUAACUACGUGCCAGCCGCCGCGGUAAUAC
rnacentral:rRNA from 1 species